rnacentral:siRNA from 1 species
UCCGCGCUGCACAUUCACUCCCUU